rnacentral:rRNA from 1 species
AGAGUUUGAUCCUGGCUCAGAUUGAACGCUGGCGGCAUGCCUAACACAUGCAAGUCGAACGGCAGCGCGGGGGCAACCCUGGCGGCGAGUGGCGGACGGGUGAGGAAUGCAUAGGAAUCUGCCCGGUUGUGGGGGAUAACGUAGGGAAACUUACGCUAAUACCGCAUACGACCUUCGGGUGAAAGUGGGGGACCUUCGGGCCUCACGCGAUCGGAUGAGCCUAUGCCCGAUUAGCUAGUUGGCGGGGUAAGAGCCCACCAAGGCGACGAUCGGUAGCUGGUCUGAGAGGAUGAUCAGCCACACUGGGACUGAGACACGGCCCAGACUCCUACGGGAGGCAGCAGUGGGGAAUAUUGGACAAUGGGCGCAAGCCUGAUCCAGCAAUGCCGCGUGUGUGAAGAAGGCCUUCGGGUUGUAAAGCACUUUUGUUCGGGAAGAAAUCCGUGCGGUUAAUACCCUUACGGGAUGACGGUACCGAAAGAAUAAGCACCGGCUAACUUC